UGAGGGAAUAUUUGGGUCAAUGGACGUAAGUCUGAACCAGCCAAGUAGCGUGCAGGAUGACGGCCCUAUGGGUUGUAAACUGCUUUUAUGUGGGAAUAAAGUCAGGGACGUGUCCCUGUUUGCAUGUACCACAGGAAUAAGGACCGGCUAAUUCCGUGCCAGCAGCCGCGGUAAUACGGAAGGUCCGGGCGUUAUCCGGAUUUAUUGGGUUUAAAGGGAGCGUAGGCCGGAGAUUAAGCGUGUUGUGAAAUGUAGGUGCUCAACAUCUGCACUGCAGCGCGAACUGGUUUCCUUGAGUACGCACAAAGUGGGCGGAAUUCGUGGUGUAGCGGUGAAAUACUUAGAUAUCACGAAGAACUCCGAUUGCGAAGGCAGCUCACUGGAGCGCAACUGACGCUGAAGCUCGAAAGUGCGGGUAUCGAACAGGAUUAGAUA
rnacentral:rRNA from 1 species